rnacentral:rRNA from 1 species
GUGGGGAAUAUUGGGCAAUGGGCGCAAGCCUGACCCAGCAACGCCGCGUGAGGGAAGAAGGCUUUCGGGUUGUAAACCUCUGUCCUUGGUGACGAAACAAAUGACGGUAGCCAAGGAGGAAGCCCCGGCUAACUACGUGCCAGCAGCCGCGGUAAUACGUAGGGGGCGAGCGUUGUCCGGAAUUACUGGGCGUAAAGGGUGCGUAGGUGGCCUUUUAAGUUGGAUGUGAAAUACCCGGGCUUAACUUGGGGGGUGCAUCCAAAACUGGGAGGCUAGAGUGCAGGAGAGGAAAGCGGAAUUCCUAGUGUAGCGGUGAAAUGCGUAGAUAUUAGGAGGAACACCAGUGGCGAAGGCGGCUUACUGGACUGUAACUGACGUUGAGGCUCGAAAGCGUGGGGAGCAAACAGGAUUAGAAACCCUAGUAGUCC